CAUAAAGCCCAGUCCAUCAAGCAGCAAUGAGAGAUUUCUCAACCUACUGCCUUUUUUUUUUCUUAGGUACACAGCAUGCUGGUACUGAUAUAGUUAGUACAUGCAAAGGAGGAAUUUCCCAUUCCUGUGGGUCAGUUUUGCAAAUAAAAUGCAAGGAUUUAUUUUCUAUACACAUACUUAUUAGGAGCACAUAAAGGCUCCUUAGCUGCAAACUACAGAAAAUCAGGGUGGCUCAGACAAUUUGUACUCUGAAUCAUCUAACAGGUA